CUUUGGGAAGCCCGACUCCAUCUUUACAUGUCUCUGCUCCAAACAUUACAUACAACUGACAUUUUUUUGUGAUGGAAGACAUGCUUCACAAAUAAAGAAAGGAUCCAAAGGAGGAUGAGU